GACUAGAGUAUAAUCUUAGACAUCACUGGUGGGACCAGGAUAAGCAGGAAGAGUCAUGAUCCGCUUGUCUAAAACCGGACCUCCCACUGUAAAAUGGUACAGACUCUGAAAGCUUGAGUCUUUGAUCCCAAGAACCUCAUGAACCGGAUCAUCAAAAUAACAUCCUAUUCCAGUUGCUGAGAUCCCCAUUGCAUGUGCUUCCAGGUACAAAACUUGCCCAACAACACCCGUCUCCCAAAACAACCGAGGGUACAUCCAUGACCCCUUCUCCCUCAUCACUGGCUCAAACCGAGCCACCAUCCCUAGGCUGAAGCACCCAUCCCCUGCAAUGUCCUGCAUCAACAACCACCACAACCAUGAUUCAACAAAGAUCCAAGUUAUAUGCAUCCAAUGUUCAAGAAAUCGCUAAGCUAUUGUUAGGCGCUUUUUAAGAAAUUAUUGCUUAGGCGGGCGUCUAGACCGAUUUUUUGAAUUUUUGAACGCGCCUAGACCCGAUUCAAGAAAAAAAAAAUCCUUAAGAAACUAGGUCCGAUUUGGCCUAGACCGAUUCUUAGAACACUUUAUGCAUCCACGACUCGAGAUAUCCAAAGCCUAUUACCUGAUGGCAUGAUAGUCCUUUUGCCAGCCUUUGGCAAUCACCCUGGGCGAGCAUAUACAGAGGAAGCCCAUCAGGGCAACCAUCUGGUCUCCUCCACUCAAACUCAGACCUCGUAGCCCUCUUGAGAUCACCGAGAUGAUCCUCGUUUCUCACUAGAAAAUACAAACCCUUGGGCAAACCCGAAACUCUAUGCACAAACAGAGCAAGAUGAACCUCAGCACAGUCCCAAGAAAGAGCACGAAAGGGCAGUGCAAGCUGCUCUCCUUGCGGCUCUCCCUUGGUGGAAGAACCAGAAGGAAGACAAUGCAUCAACAUCUGGUAAAACGCGGACUUGUCAAUAAAAGUAACACCGUCCAUAUCAACCGCACUUCUUCUCAUCCUCACAACUUGACUCACUGUCAAGUCCUUAUACGAACUCCUGCUAACCACACCACUCGCCUUAAAGGAAGAAGCAUCUAUUGAAGUUGAAGAUGAGUUUGAGAUCAAUGAAGGCUUCUUGACUGCUUCUGCUGUCUUGUAGAUGAUGUCCCAACACAAAUGCUCUUUACUCAGGACAUUAGGAGUCCCUUUCCACUCCAAACUAGUGAACCCUUCUCUAAUAGCAGAGCUUAUACCUUUGUAAUCUAUGUUAAUAAAAUCACUACCUCCCUUGGGGAAAACGAGCAGCAAGCAAUCAGGAUGCUCAGAUUCAAUUUCUGGGAACUCAGGGAGGCCCAUUAGCACGUUGAGAUCAUCACUUCCUAAUCCAUCAAGAAGCUUCAACUCCCACCCCAGCUCUCCAGCUGCAACGGCCAGAGCAGCGAUCGCGUGACCCACGUCGUGGUUACAGUACCUAAACGCGCGUUCUCCGUACUUCCAAGCCUCACGCCAGAAGAUUGAAGAGACACCGAUGAGGAAAGAGUUCUCAGGGAAGAACUUGGGGAAGAAGGUGGAAGGCACGUGAGCUCUGACCUCCAAAGAAUGCUCCUUUGGAGCGUAGUGAGCCACGAAAGGGAGGGAAGAGAGCGAAGGGAUGGGGGGAGAGAUGAGGUAUGCCUCCGUGGGGUGCAAGUUACCGCUGCUGGGGUUGACGCGGAGGGGCCAGGUGGAGGCUCCCGAUGAGUGCGUGCGCGAGAGAGGAGGAACGAUGGAAGAGUUACCAAAGGUUAUAAAAGGGGCGUCUGACUGGGUGAAGACGACGUCGCUUUGAAUGAAGAAAACACACCCCAACGGCUAGUUGCCUUUUCCUUUUUCUUUUACAAUUAUUUUUGUUUCUUUCCCCAGAAAAUAGUUAAUUUUUGUUGACAAAUGGCAUAAACUUCUUUAAAUACAUUGUACUGUAUUGUCUUUGUAAAAAAAAAAUAGAAAAACAUAUCUUUGCAGAUCUUAGAUAUGGUUAACUGAAUUAAUUAUGUAAGUGAUCAAGAUGUAUUAAUAGAUUUGUCCAUAUAUUGAUAAAAUAUAUUAUUUCUGAAAGAUUUACUACUAUUUCUGUGUUCGUUUUCUAAAAUUACAACUUUUUAAAAAAAAUAUCACAACUAGUUCCAAAAAAAUAUAUAUAUAUAUCACAAUUUUUUUUUUUUUUUUUUUGGUUCAAAUAUAAAUAAUAUUCAUUAAUUAUAGGAUUAGUUAUCACAAAUUUUAAGUUUAAUAAAGAGUUAUAAAUGUGUGUUUUUUUGUGUGUUUGUAGUUAACAGGGUUUACAGCCCGGGAACAUCUUUUAACUCAACUGCAAGAAGAAACUUCAACCAGACAAUGAAUUUAUUAACACGUUUACAAGAUCUCACAUCACACUAAGCACAGAAUCUCGUGCUGAAAAAACUUCUCUUAUCAAGUGUGGUGCCCCAACUUUUACAAACCCCAGCGUUACAACUUUGUAGAGAAAAUCAUAUUCUUAUUUCACCACUAAUAUUAUUUACCGAACUAAAGCUGAAUGAUAGAUGACCCUGCUAUGGUUGAUCAUCAAUACACUGGGUGUCCUCUUCAAGAACCAGUUUGGAACAGAACUUCAUGUAAGUUGUAUCUUUUAUUACACUAUAAAUCACCAAGACAAGAUUUGUUUACAGACUCAACAAAGACUAGAGUAUAAUCUUAGACAUCACUGGUGGGACCAGGAUAAGCAGGAAGAGUCAUGAUCCGCUUGUCUAAAACCGGACCUCCCACAGUAAAAUGGUACAGACUCUGAAAGCUUGAGUCUUUGAUCCCAAGAACCUCAUGAACCGGAUCAUCAAAAUAACAUCCUAUUCCAGUUGCUGAGAUCCCCAUUGCAUGUGCUUCCAGGUACAAAACUUGCCCAACAACACCCGUCUCCCAAAACAACCGAGGGUACAUCCAUGACCCCUUCUCCCUCAUCACUGGCUCAAACCGAGCCACCAUCCCUAGGCUGAAGCACCCAUCCCC
rnacentral:lncRNA from 1 species